rnacentral:lncRNA from 1 species
CAAGAUAUUAACCAAAAGCUGCAAUGUUUCUUAAUUUACCAAUUUUUGGGCAGCAACCCAACAACAGUUGCCUGAUUGGUCUGAAAAUUUCAGGGCAGAUAGAUCUUAACCUAAUGAACAUUUUAUCUAAAGCAGAUUUGCUCUAAAUGAUUUGGUUUCAGAUAUAUGAGCCAAAAACUGCAUUUUACCCUAUGUACUUUUUUUUAGCUAUGUCGGCCAUCUUGGUUUGGGAACAGGGUCAACGGACAAAUUUUUUAAACUAGAUACCCUAAUGAUGAUUGUGCACAAGUUUGGAUAAAUUUGUCUUAGUAGUUUCAGAGGAGAAGAAUUUUUUAAAAGAUAAAUAUUUACAAAAAAAUGUUAAAAAUUAAAUAAGGACAAUUACUCCUUAAGGGGUCAACUGACCAUUUUGGUUAUGUUGACUUAUUUGUAGAUCUUACUUGCUGAACAUUAUUGCUGUUUACAGUUUAUCUCUAUCUAUAAUAGUAUUCAAGAUAAUAAACAAAAACAGCAAAAUUCUUUUAAAAUUACCAAUUUAGGUGCAGCAACCCAACAACUGGUUCUCCGAUUCAUCUGAAAAUUUCAGGGCAGAUAGAUUUGAUGCUGAAAAACAAUUUAACCCCCAUGUUAGAUUUGCACAAAAUGCUUUGGUUUCAGAGAUAUAAGCCAAAAUCUACAUUUUACCCCUAUGUUCUAUUUCAGCCAUGGUGGCCAUCUUUAUUGUUUGGCCGGGUCACGCCACACAUUUUUUAAACUAGAUACCCAAAUGAUGAUUGUGGCCAAGUUUGAUUUAAUUUGGCCCAGAAUUUUAGAGGAGAAGAUUUUUGUAAAAGUUAACGACGACAGAUGACGGACACCAACUAAUGAGAAAAGCUCAAUUGGCCCUUUGGGCCAGGUGAGCUAAAAAGUAGAUCAACUUCAAAGUAAAAUGUCUAUCAAUACCUAUUUAUUGUACAAUCAUGAAGAUAUCAUAAUAAUCUUAAGAGAUGUAUAAAAACUUCAUCCUUUUGGUGUUUUACUUGGUAUAUUCUAAUAUUAUACUGUGUUUUGUUAUUAGUGAGACAGAUUCAAAGUUUUAAAGCAACCACUGAGGUAAAUGAAAGAGAAGAUAUAUCACAAUUGAUCCAAUGAUGGAGCAGAAGAAUCUUUACCAUGUUUAACCCUUUUCCUUCAUAAUGACGCCUUUUGACGCCACCCCCUAACUCCAUAAUGAUGCCUUUUGAUGCCACCCCCUUAACCCCAUAAUUAUGCCUUUUGAUGCCGGAGUAGUGCCUCAGUUGAAAUGUCUUGCCUUCAAAAAAUCUGAAUUAAUGAAAUGUCUUGCCUACGAAAAAUCUGUAUCAAUGAAACAUCUUGCCUACGAAAAGUCUGUAUCAAACAUGAUUAAAUUUGGAUCUAAUAUAAAAAGGAUAUUCAUGAGAAUAUCUAACUGAAAUUUCAUUGAUGAAAUGUUCGUUUUCGCAAUGCAUUAAUACUUUAAACCUAAUGAUUUUUUUUUAUUGAAAAAAUCCUAUGCGAAUCAAGUAUGUUAAAAAAAACAUCCAUAGAAGAAAGGGUUAAUCAAGAAUGAGCAAGUAAGCACUGACAAUAGCUCAAAUAACCUAUAAA